rnacentral:lncRNA from 1 species
UUUUUUUUUCUUCAAGUAGUCUGGUGGCUAAAAAAUUCACCUAAAAGGUGAAUAAAUAGAGUGUCUCAGGUUCGAACUCAAGCUCUUGCAAAUAUAGGUUAGAAAAUGCAUUAUUAGAUUCUAAGUUGUUUUUAUUUAAUGUUUUAUUCUAAGUUACUUUUAGGAAUUAACUGAUUAUAAUUUGUAUUCAACUUGCUGUUGGAUUUAAUUUAGUAUUGAACCAUUGACUUUUUUAUGUAGUAUGCCACAUGAACUAUGCAGCAGAACAUUAUUGUACUACUAGCGGUGCAAAAAAAUUCACUUUUAAAAUUUAUUCUAUAACUCUUAUGUAUUAGAUGAUAUAAAUCAGAUGUUAUUUAUUCAAUAAAUAUAAUACUAAGUUUAUAGUGCAUAAGUGAAAUAUAUUUUUAUUAAGCAUAAAUUUAUUUUAAUAAUUUUAACAAUAAAUAAUUUUUUUUAAGGAAACAAGCUUGUCAAAAGACUACACGACUGCACCCUUAAAAUCUAAUUUCUAUAUUUUUAAAUUUUUUAAUCAAAGGCCAAGAUUUUACUUCGUUCCUCAAUCUCAAGUAAUUGAGAGGAUCUGCCACUAUACUUCCCUUUUUUUUCAUUCUCUAAGCAUACUGAUUAGUGAUUACUAAUUUGUUUAGGACCGAGCUCAUAAAAGUAAAAAAUCACAUAAAAGGACAUAAUGUACCAAACUUGUUGGAUGCAAACAAAAUGGUCUCAUCCAUCACCAUUGAAGAAACUACUAAUAAACGAAAACACACAAUCUAUACAAUGACCACAGUUCACUCAGAGUCAAUGUAUUUUAUUGCCCAUGAUUACUUCCCAUAAGCGACCUUCACGGCUGGCAUGACCGAUAAAGUCAGUUCUUUUGCGACCCGUCAGAUUUCUACAGCAAAAAUAAAAUUAGAGGAAAGUGUUAAACUGAGGAUGAAGCAAUAUACAAAUAACCAAAGUUCAGCACAACAGUAAAACUUAAAUGUCACCAAAUUGCUGCAAAACAAAAGCAAUAAAUAAUCCUAGAACUUUCAAUUUCAGGCAGAUAAUUGAAUCCAUAUGACAUAUUGACAAAACAUGAACUUGAAGAAAGAUUCAACUAUCACUUAGCGUGUGUCUGGGUUGGCGUUCCCACAGCUCAAACUCAUGUUUUGCUCUGUCAACACAAUUCUAGUCUUCUUUGAGUAUGUUUGGUUUUCUCUUCAUAAAUUCUGUCUUCUUAACGCGAUUCUACCAAAAGCUACAAAUCGUAGCUUCUACGUUUAACACAAAAU